GGGGGUAUAGCUCAGUUGGGAGAGCACCUGCUUUGCACGCAGGGGGUCAGCGGUUCGAAUCCGCUUACCUCCA
rnacentral:tRNA from 1 species